rnacentral:lncRNA from 7 species
GCCGAGGCCGCGUUCAACGCCUCACACCAGCUAGGCAGCUAGGCCGCCUUCCGCCCUUCUCUGCGCCGGCUUCCGACUUCCGAUUCCGAGACGACCGGGGAAAUUUGAUCCAUCGCCACAGCGGCAGCGAGCCAACUAGCCAAGGUUUCUGUGCGCUCCUGUCCCCUCCCCCGUUACCACACGCACGAUCGACGUGCUCCCGUGGUGCACGCACACAUCUAGAGCUUGUUCGUUCUCAAAAUGUCGCCGGCGAAGAGCUAGCUAGCCACAAAGAGCCGGCAGUGUCAAUAAUGCCAGACUCGUCCAGAUUGUUCGAAAUAGCUUUCUGAACCCCCAUCACUUCCUUCUCUUCUCCCAUACAGGUAAAGACGAUUGGAGGAAAAGGCGAGGCGAGGCAUCGUGUUCUUUCUUCUUCAUAGGCCAGUGCGUGGCCACGGGUGGAGUGGAGGUGGAGGGGUCCCCUGGCUCUGAAUCAUCCAUGGGACGGCAUCUCUUAGCCAGCAAGCAAAAUGUCCACGUUGGCUCACUUUCACUCAUCAAAGUUGUUUUGUUACUAGCUAGGCGGGAAAGACGCCUCAGGUGGCUUCGCAAAGCAGUUGGCUAUAUAUUCUGAAAAGAAAAGAACUUUAUUUUUUUUGCCCUGUAGACAAGUGCGUAUUGAUUGUUCAGAGAUUUGUAACAGAGAAGCAUAUAAUUAUAAUGCAAGCUCCAUGCGACACGUAUAAAAUAGGAACAGCGAUAUGACCAAAGUACUCGUGUGUUCUGAUAGUGGCAUAUUUGAUUUGCGCCUCGAGUUCCACUAUUUCUGUAAGAAAAUUCAUUAAUAACCUUGGCGAAAAAAGGUUUG